GUGUUGUAUGAAAAGAGAGAAAGUUAGCACUCCCCCUCACAAGGAUGGAAGAGGCUCUCGGGGCCUGACAACACACAUACAGUUAAGGCAUUGCCACCUACUUCGUGGCAUCUAACCACCAUUUUUA
rnacentral:ncRNA from 1 species